rnacentral:rRNA from 1 species
UACGGGGGGUGCAAGCGUUGUUCGGAAUCAUUGGGCGUAAAGAGCGUGUAGGCGGCUUGAUAAGUCAGAUGUGAAAGCCCCGGGCUUAACUCGGGAAGUGCAUUCGAAACUGUCUGGCUAGAGUAGGGAAGAGGGAAGCGGAAUUCCUGGUGUAGAGGUGAAAUUCGUAGAUAUCAGGAGGAACACCGGUGGCGAAGGCGGCUUCCUGGUCCUAUACUGACGCUGAGACGCGAGAGCGUGGGGGG